rnacentral:rRNA from 1 species
UUAAGUUAUUAAGGGCGCACGGUGGAUGCCUUGGCACUAGAAGCCGAUGAAGGACGUUACUAACGACGAUAUGCUUUGGGGAGCUGUAAGUAAGCUUUGAUCCAGAGAUUUCCGAAUGGGGAAACCCAGCAUGAGUUAUGUCAUGUUAUCGAUAUGUGAAUACAUAGCAUAUCAGAAGGCACACCCGGAGAACUGAAACAUCUUAGUACCCGGAGGAAGAGAAAGAAAAUUCGAUUCCCUUAGUAGCGGCGAGCGAAACGGGAAGAGCCCAAACCAACAAGCUUGCUUGUUGGGGUUGUAGGACACUCUAUACGGAGUUACAAAGGACGACAUUAGACGAAUCAUCUGGAAAGAUGAAUCAAAGAAGGUAAUAAUCCUGUAGUCGAAAAUGUUGUCUCUCUUGAGUGGAUCCUGAGUACGACGGAGCACGUGAAAUUCCGUCGGAAUCUGGGAGGACCAUCUCCUAAGGCUAAAUACUCUCUAGUGACCGAUAGUGAACCAGUACCGUGAGGGAAAGGUGAAAAGCACCCCGGAAGGGGAGUGAAAUAGAACCUGAAACCGUGUGCUUACAAGUAGUCAGAGCCCGUUAAUGGGUGAUGGCGUGCCUUUUGUAGAAUGAACCGGCGAGUUACGAUUUGAUGCAAGGUUAAGCAGUAAAUGUGGAGCCGUAGCGAAAGCGAGUCUGAAUAGGGCGUUUAGUAUUUGGUCGUAGACCCGAAACCAGGUGAUCUACCCUUGGUCAGGUUGAAGUUCAGGUAACACUGAAUGGAGGACCGAACCGACUUACGUUGAAAAGUGAGCGGAUGAACUGAGGGUAGCGGAGAAAUUCCAAUCGAACCUGGAGAUAGCUGGUUCUCUCCGAAAUAGCUUUAGGGCUAGCCUCAAGUGAUGAUUAUUGGAGGUAGAGCACUGUUUGGACGAGGGGCCCCUCUCGGGUUACCGAAUUCAGACAAACUCCGAAUGCCAAUUAAUUUAACUUGGGAGUCAGAACAUGGGUGAUAAGGUCCGUGUUCGAAAGGGAAACAGCCCAGACCACCAGCUAAGGUCCCAAAAUAUAUGUUAAGUGGAAAAGGAUGUGGCGUUGCCCAGACAACUAGGAUGUUGGCUUAGAAGCAGCCAUCAUUUAAAGAGUGCGUAAUAGCUCACUAGUCGAGUGACACUGCGCCGAAAAUGUACCGGGGCUAAACAUAUUACCGAAGCUGUGGAUUGUCCUUUGGACAAUGGUAGGAGAGCGUUCUAAGGGCGUUGAAGCAUGAUCGUAAGGACAUGUGGAGCGCUUAGAAGUGAGAAUGCCGGUGUGAGUAGCGAAAGACGGGUGAGAAUCCCGUCCACCGAUUGACUAAGGUUUCCAGAGGAAGGCUCGUCCGCUCUGGGUUAGUCGGGUCCUAAGCUGAGGCCGACAGGCGUAGGCGAUGGAUAACAGGUUGAUAUUCCUGUACCACCUAUAAUCGUUUUAAUCGAUGGGGGGGACGCAGUAGGAUAGGCGAAGCGUGCGAUUGGAUUGCACGUCUAAGCAGUAAGGCUGAGUAUUAGGCAAAUCCGGUACUCGUUAAGGCUGAGCUGUGAUGGGGAGAAGACAUUGUGUCUUCGAGUCGUUGAUUUCACACUGCCGAGAAAAGCCUCUAGAUAGAAAAUAGGUGCCCGUACCGCAAACCGACACAGGUAGUCAAGAUGAGAAUUCUAAGGUGAGCGAGCGAACUCUCGUUAAGGAACUCGGCAAAAUGACCCCGUAACUUCGGGAGAAGGGGUGCUCUUUAGGGUUAACGCCCAGAAGAGCCGCAGUGAAUAGGCNAAUAGCUCACUAGUCGAGUGACACUGCGCCGAAAAUGUACCGGGGCUAAACAUAUUACCGAAGCUGUGGAUUGUCCUUUGGACAAUGGUAGGAGAGCGUUCUAAGGGCGUUGAAGCAUGAUCGUAAGGACAUGUGGAGCGCUUAGAAGUGAGAAUGCCGGUGUGAGUAGCGAAAGACGGGUGAGAAUCCCGUCCACCGAUUGACUAAGGUUUCCAGAGGAAGGCUCGUCCGCUCUGGGUUAGUCGGGUCCUAAGCUGAGGCCGACAGGCGUAGGCGAUGGAUAACAGGUUGAUAUUCCUGUACCACCUAUAAUCGUUUUAAUCGAUGGGGGGACGCAGUAGGAUAGGCGAAGCGUGCGAUUGGAUUGCACGUCUAAGCAGUAAGGCUGAGUAUUAGGCAAAUCCGGUACUCGUUAAGGCUGAGCUGUGAUGGGGAGAAGACAUUGUGUCUUCGAGUCGUUGAUUUCACACUGCCGAGAAAAGCCUCUAGAUAGAAAAUAGGUGCCCGUACCGCAAACCGACACAGGUAGUCAAGAUGAGAAUUCUAAGGUGAGCGAGCGAACUCUCGUUAAGGAACUCGGCAAAAUGACCCCGUAACUUCGGGAGAAGGGGUGCUCUUUAGGGUUAACGCCCAGAAGAGCCGCAGUGAAUAGGCCCAAGCGACUGUUUAUCAAAAACACAGGUCUCUGCUAAACCGUAAGGUGAUGUA